rnacentral:rRNA from 2 species
AGUCGAGCGGACAGAGAGGGAGCUUGCUCCCGNAUGUUAGCGGCGGACGGGUGAGUAACANGCUGCGGUAACCUGCCUGNNAGACUGGUAUAACUCCAGGAAACCNUGAGCUAAUACCGGAUAGUUCCUUGAACCGCUAUGGUUCAUGGAUGAAAGACGGUUUCGGCUGUCACUUACAGAUGGACCCGCGGCGCAGUAUCUAGUUGGUGGGGUAAUGGCUCACCUCGGCGACUAUGCGUAGCCGACCUGAGAGGGGGAUCGGCCACACUGGGACUGANACACGGCCCAUACUCCUACGGGAGGCAUCAGUAAGGAAUCUUCCGCAAUGGACGAAAGUCUGACGGAGCUACGCCGCGUGAGUGAUGAAGGUUUUCGGAUCGUGCAGCUCUGUUGUUAGGGAAGAACAAGUGCGAGAGUGACUGCUCGCACCUUGUAGGUACCUAACCAGAAAGCCACGGCUAACUACGUGCCAGCAGCCGCGGUAAUACGUAGGUGGCAAGCGUUGUCCGGAAUUAUUGGGCGUAAAGGGCUCGCAGGCGGUUUCUUAAGUCUGAUGUGAAAGCCCCCGGCUCAACCGGGGAGGGUCAUUGGAAACUGGGAAACUUGAGUGCAGAAGAGGAGAGUGGAAUUCCACGUGUAGCGGUGAAAUGCGUAGAGAUGUGGAGGAACACCAGUGGCGAAGGCGACUCUCUGGUCUGUAACUGACGCUGAGGAGCGAAAGCGUGGGGAGCGAACAGGAUUAGAUACCCUGGUAGUCCACGCCGUAACGAUGAGUGCUAGUGUUAGGGGGUUUCCGCCCCUUAGUGCUGCAGCUAACGCAUUAAGCACUCCGCCUGGGGAGUACGGUCGCAAGACUGAA